rnacentral:lncRNA from 1 species
CUCUGAUGGAGGCGGCUCUGCAGCUGGAAUCGCGGACGUUUGUGCAAGGACCGAAGCACUGGGAAAGGCCGGGCUUGGACUCGGGUUAUGGCUCCAGCAUCCACCGACGUCCGCAGCGUCUGCUGGACUCGCCCAAUAGCCCCGCAGCGGCCGCGCUCGCAGACGCAUCCGGCUGCAGCCUCCUGCAGGAGGAUGAGGAGUCGGUGCGACAGGGACGGGCGGCUUCCCCGGAACAGCGAGGCGCAGCGACAGACUCGGAGCCCCCAGCGUCUGCCUGUGCGCCGGUGAAGCGCACUUGCGGUCAGUUCUCCAACAUCGUCUGGAAAGUAAUAGCUGGUGCCGCUGUGGCUGUGGUUGAGGCUGUGGUUAUUUUGACAGGAACUUUCUCUCCAAAGGUCAGGCAGUGUCCAGAAGAAUGGAUAUGUUUUGGAGGGAACGGGUAUUCUUUUUCCACCGAUACAAAGAGCUGGGAUGACAGUAAGGAGUACUGCGCCUCACAUGGCGCAACGCUUCCUAUGAUAAAAGAGAAACUGCAACUGGAGAACAUCAAACGCUUGAGACAGAACCAUUACUACUGGAUUGGGCUAAGAAAGGAAGCAGCAGGAUGGCAGUGGGACGAUGGAUCUCCAUUUACUAAUGAUAUGCAAAGCUGA